GAUACUCGUUUUCAUAUAUUAUGACGUUGAUUUAUUAUUAAGUUGGAUUACAUCACAAUGAUAAAUCAUGUUGCAAUACAUUUAUUAACCUAUAUGUUAAAUGUGUACAACGAACUUCAAAGAUUCAGAAACAUGUUAUAUGUUGUUGCUUCUUGCUAGAAACAUUUCUCCCACUUGUGUAGCUUUGGUUUGGUAACAACUUAAAUGUAAGCAAAUGAACAUAGGCAGUACCAUUUGAUCAGCAGUAAUUCACAUCUUUGACGUUAGACGACUGAGAGUCGCCUGAAUCGUUCCAUGUGGUUCAUCCGUUGGCAAGUAAACAUCGUCAGCAAACUUAACAAUGUCUGGUUUAUCUUUGCUUGGCAAAUUGACCGGCAGAAAAUGGAUAUUUGGCAUCUUCAACUGAAUGAAUGAAAUGUCAGGAGACCUUCCAAGAACAGCCUUUGCCAUUUCGUAAAGUGUGGCUUGAACAGAAGGGCUGUAUACUCCUUCCUUAGAUGGUCCAAAGAAUGUGUUAAGCAGGACCUCUUUCACAUCUAUGCAUCUAUCUGUGAAAUACAGAGGCUUCAGGGGAAGACUUGAGAGAGAUUCAAAAGAGUACCUCCAAGAUGCAGUGACCUCUGUAGCCAUCAUCCUUUCGCGUGUUUCAGGCAACAUAGUGUACCGGUCCCUAAUGAAUCCUUCAAAACCUGACUGUUUCAAUAAGCCAUUUGUUAUACAAAUCAACACUGCACUUAUUGUAUGAAAAAAUUCAGUAGCCAUUUGUUUAGAGUGGUGCAUCAAGAAAUGUGUACUACCAAUUUUAAUCACGUAAAAAAGAAUUCCUAGUUACUAUAGGAAGAAGUAUAUUAGAUGCUGGAGCUCCAAUUUUAGAGUAAGGAAGACUAAGGACCUAUGUGGGACCGAAUGGAUCUUGUGUGACCCACAUAUAAACCAUCUCAAACUACAUACCAGCUAUAUCUCCAUCAUUCCUGAGAGUACUACCCUUGUUGCCUUGUAGCUGAUCCAUAGCCCCAACCUCCACUAACUCCGUCCAGAAGGUGGGAGGGUCGAAAGAAAACAAACUAAAAUGACUUCCUGGAGUGUGACAUACCUCAUUUUACUAAAGGAGGAUCACAUAUCUUAAUAGGAUACCGUAAAAGUUCUCAUUCAAACUCCAGAACCCUUUUCUUUCUUGUUUUUAGGUAUGUGGAACUGUAACUUUACCUGCAACAACUAGAAGCAGAAAAUAAAGAAAGAAUCUUAGGCAGAUGUAUAACAGGGAUUACCUUAGUUGUCUUCAGAAUUGAUAAUCCUUCAAUACCAGAUGUCAGGUGCAAUGUUCCUGAUUUAUCGACCAUUACUUCAGUUGUAUGUCUUUCAGAGCCAAGCUUAAAACCAUGUUCAUGUUGUUGGCCCUUUAUGCUAAUGCGUUCCCAUGGCUUCUCAACUAUAUUAACAAUUGCAGCAGUGACCUGCUGAUAAAAGGAGGUGAAGUGCUUUGCAAGUACAAUGGCAAAAUCUUCAGCUGAAAGUUUCUCUGAACAUUCCUUAGCUUUCGCAUAUA
rnacentral:misc_RNA from 1 species